GAUGAACGCUGGCGGCGUGCUUAACACAUGCAAGUCGAACGAACCUUCGGGUUAGUGGCGGACGGGUGAGUAACGCGUGAGAAUCUGCCCUCAGGAGGGGGACAACAGCUGGAAACGGCUGCUAAUACCCCAUAUGCCGCGAGGUGAAAUGAAUUUCGCCUGAGGAUGAGCUCGCGUCUGAUUAGCUAGUUGGUGUAGGUAAUGGCUCACCAAGGCAUCGAUCAGUAGCUGGUCUGAGAGGAUGAUCAGCCACACUGGGACUGAGACACGGCCCAGACUCCUACGGGAGGCAGCAGUGGGGAAUUUUCCGCAAUGGGCGAAAGCCUGACGGAGCAACGCCGCGUGAGGGAUGAAGGCCUCUGGGCUGUAAACCUCUUUUAUCAAGGAAGAAGAUCUGACGGUACUUGAUGAAUAAGCCACGGCUAAUUCCGUGCCAGCAGCG
rnacentral:rRNA from 1 species